rnacentral:tRNA from 1 species
GGCUGGUUAGCUCAGUGGGUUGAGCAGGGUGCUGAUAACACUAAGAUUGCGGGUUUGAUUCCCGUUCAGUCCA